rnacentral:rRNA from 1 species
GACGAACCGAGCGAACGUUGUUCGGAAUCACUGGGCUUAAAGGGCGCGUAGGCGGGUGCUCAAGUCUGAUGUGAAAGCCCCGGGCUCAACCUGGGAAUGGCAGUGGAUACUGGCAAGCUAGAGUGCGGUAGAGGGUAGUGGAAUUCCCGGUGUAGCGGUGAAAUGCGUAGAGAUCGGGAGGAACACCAGUGGCGAAGGCGACUCUUUGGCCUGUAACUGACGCUGAGGCGCGAAAGCGUGGGGAGCAAACAGGG